ensembl:lncRNA
GACCCCGGGUGGACCUCAGAGAGCCUCCCGCUCCGGCCGCUCUCCUGGCCAGGACACGGCCUGUUCCCAGAACACCGCCUGCCCCAGAGGCCAUUCACCCUGGGCGGUCAGGCUCAAGGGCAGGGGCCCAGCCCAGGAGCCAGGGGUGAGGACUGAAAGGUGCCAGCUGGAAGGCCCCGCGUGCCCACUAGGGCUGCCGGAGGGGGACGCCAAGGGUGCUCAGGGACACGGGCCUGCAGAUUCCAAGGCACCUUCUCCCAACCUGCUGACUCAGACUCAGCGGGAAAGAAGGCCAUGUGAUAACCAGCAGACCAGGGAACUCAGAGAUCAAGUCUGGAAGUCAUCUGGUUCCCCGAGGCACCGUUGAACUGCCUGGGCAGGCCCUAGGCCUGAGAUGCUGAGGCCUCCAGGUUCCAGGGCAGAAGAGACAGAAGAGGAGACAGAAGACGCAGAGGCAGAGAGACCUGAGACCGCAGAAGGGGCACAGAAGAGGGACGUGGCCACAAGCUAAGCAACCCCUGUGACACCAGAGGCUGGGAGAGAUGAGGCAGGAUGCUCACCUGGAGCCUUCGGAGGGAGCACAACCCUGCUGACACCUUGAUUUCGGACUUCUGGCCUCCACAACCAUGGAGAAUCAAUUUCCACUGAUAAAAGCUGCGCAAUUUGCGGUAGUUUGUUCCGACAGUCCCAGAAAACCAAUACAGGGAUUGUCCAAAGACAGCCCAUUGCAUGCCCUCAAGACCAACCUUUCUAUUUAAUAACCCAGUGUUUUUGUUCCCAUUUCAGAG